UACGAAGGUGGCAAGCGUUACUCGGAAUUACUAGGCGUAAAGGGCAGGUAGGUGGUUUGGUAAGUCUGUUGUGAAAGCCCCCGGCUCAACUGGGGAGGGUCACGCGAUACUGCUCGACUCGAAGGCAGGAGAGGGAAGUGGAAUUCCCGGUGUAGUGGUGAAAUGCGUAGAUAUCGGGAGGAACACCAGUGGCGAAGGCGACUUCCUGGCCUGUUCUUGACGCUGAGGCGCGAAAGCUAGGGUAGCAAACGGG
rnacentral:rRNA from 1 species